rnacentral:misc_RNA from 1 species
GAUGAAGAACGUAGUGAAAUGCGAUAAGUAAUGUGAAUUGCAGAAUUCAGUGAAUCAUCGAAUCUUUGAACGCACAUUGCGCCCGCCAGUAUUCUGGCGGGCAUGCCUGUUCGAGCGUCAUUACAACCCUCAAGCCCCCCGGCUUGGUGUUGGGGACCGGCCACCGGUGCCCUGCUGCUUCCGCGGCAGGCGCACCCGGCCGCCCCCGAAAUGAAUUGGCGGCCCCGUCGCGGCCUCCCUCUGCGUAGUAGCACACAUCUCGCAGCUGGAGCGCGGCGCGGCCACUGCCGUAAAACGCACCAACUUUUUUUACAGUUGACCUCGAAUCAGGUAGGAAUACCCGCUGAACUUAAGCAUAUCAAUAAGCGGAGGA